AGAUCUUCCUAAUGUGAGAUUUACAUAAAUAUGUCAAAGUCUCAACCUCAUGCUGCCCUCCCCCAUCCUCCUAAACCUGUGGAUACAAAUGCAGAUUUCCUUAAUGUUCAAUGGUGCGUGUUCUUCUAAUGGCCGCCUUCCCACUGGAGGUUUUGAUCCACAGCAAUUUAAAAGGUAAUCAGCUUUGAAAGUCAGUUCAAAUGGUUAGCUAAUAGUACUUUAAAAAGCCUACAACUCUGUCACCAGUUUCUUUACCAAAAAUUACCCAUAAAAGUAUCGCUCAAUAGCAUAUAUUGUAGUUCAAAUGUUUAGUUGUACAAAUAUCAAAUUUUUGGAAAUCUAAAACUAGUCAAACACUCAAAUGUUCAUGCUUUUUAUAGGAGGACAGAGCAAAACGGACAUCGGCGCAGAGUGAAGAACUGCCCUUGAUAAGGACACUAUGACAGCCAUAUAUAGUAAGUGAAGACUUUCUGUGUAUCUAAAAUUGCAUACAGCACAAGUAACUUACUUUGCAACCAUUAAAAUAGGUUGUAAAGUAAGUUACCAAUACAAAUAGGUGAUGAUGCAUUGUAGUGGUUGGUCUCAGACAAAGAAGGUCAACAGAUUUAUGAAUGCUGGAAGGUAAGGAGAGACGACCAAAAGGGGUGUUAGCAUUACUGUAAUGUGAACUGGAUAGACUUCCCAUCUAGGAAAAAAAAGAGGUAAAAUUAUGCGUAAAAUAUAUCUGUAUUAAUAUCUGUAUCUAUAUAAACAGAAAUAUCUGUUUGCUAAAUGAAGCCAGCUAACAUAAAUCACAUUUUUAUUUUAACUCUGAUAAAAGUAAUAGAACUGUGACUUUUGUUUGUUACAGUGGCGGUAAGGAAGGGGUUUCCCAGCGUGUCCAGAAGGGCUUUGAGGAU